AGCUAAUACUUGCUUUAGCACUCUUGAUUAAGUUCUUGAGUGUGUACUUGUUAAGCCUUUUAAGAAAAAAGUUAUUAACUUAAGGAAUUAUUACAAAGAAGUAACACGUAAAUGGAUUUUCCAUUUUUUAGUGUGUAUCAAUCGAGUUUCUGACCUAUCAGCUUUUGAUGUUAGGGUAUUGGCCUAACAUGGCUAUGACGGGUAACGGGGAAUUAGAGUUCGAUUCCGGAGAGGGAGCCUGAGAAAUAGCUACCACAUCUAAGGAAGGCAGCAGGCGCGUAAAUUACCCAAUUCUAAAGAAGAGAGGUAGUGACAAGAAAUAACAAUACAAGGCCAAUCUGGCUUUGUAAUUGGAAUGAUGGGAAUUUAAAACCUUCCCAAAACUCAAUUGGAGGGCAAGUCUGGUGCCAGCAGCCGCGGUAAUUCCAGCUCCAAUAGCGUAUAUUAAAAUUGUUGCAGUUAAAACGCUCGUAGUUGAAUUUCAAAGAAUCGAUAUUUUAAGUAACGCUUUGUAGAUUAAUCCACAUAACUGAUACUACGUAUCGACUUUGUGCGCAUUUUUCUACUUAUGUGUUCUUUUAAUUAAAAUGAUUCUUUUUAAGAUCUUUCUUUUUUGCUUCGGCAUUUUAGGAGAUCUUGUUACUUUGAGUAAAUUAGAGUGUUCAAAGCAAACAGAUUAUAGCAUCUUUAUGCGUUUGAAUACUACAGCAUGGAAUAACAAAAUUGAACAAGUCAGAAUUUUGUUCUUUUUUCUUAUUUUGGCUUAGUUACGAUUAAUAGGAGUAGCUUGGGGGCAUUUGUAUUCAGAUGUCAGAGGUGAAAUUCUUAGAUUUUCUGGAGACAAACAACUGCGAAAGCAUUUGCCUAAAAUACUUCCAUUAAUCAAGAACGAAAGUUAAGGGAGUGAAGACGAUCAGAUACCGUCGUAAUCUUAACCAUAAACUAUGCCGACUAGGCUUUGGAUGAAAGAUUUUAAAAUAAGAGUUUUUUCUCUGAGGAGUUAAAACUCUUAGAUUGCUUCCUCCAGUGCCUUAUGAGAAAUCAAAGUCUUUGGGUUCUGGGGCGAGUAUUCGCGCAAGCGAGAAAGUUAAAAGAAUUGACGGAAGGGCACCACCAGGCGUGGAGCUUGCGGCUUAAUUUGACUCAACACGGGAAAACUCACUAGUUUAAGACAAGAGUAGGAUUGACAGAUUAAUAGCUCUUUCUUGAUUUCUUGGAUGGUGAUGCAUGGCCGUUUUUAGUUCGUGAAUAUGAUUUGUCUGGUUAAUUCCGAUAACGAACGAGAUCUUAACCUGCUAAUUAGCGGCAAAUACGAUAUAUUCUUAUGUGGAAUUGAAUAUAGUUGAUUUGCUUAUUUUGAAGAAAAUAUUGGGAUACGUAAAUGUAUCCCUUUCCCUUUUCUACUUAAUUUGCUUAUUAUACUAUUUCUUUUUUGCGUAAGAAUGUAUUUGCUUGAUUGUAAAGCUUCUUAGAGGAACGAUGUGUGUCUAACACAAG
rnacentral:rRNA from 1 species